rnacentral:rRNA from 1 species
GACGAACGCUGGCGGCGUGCUUAACACAUGCCAGUCGAACGGUAAGGCCCUUCGGGGUACACGAGUGGCGAACGGGUGAGUAACACGUGGGUAAUCUGCCCUGCACAUCGGGAUAAGCCUGGGAAACUGGGUCUAAUACCGAAUAGGACCACAGGACACAUGUCCUGUGGUGGAAAGCUUUUGCGGUGUGGGAUGGGCCCGCGGCCUAUCAGCUUGUUGGUGGGGUGAUGGCCUACCAAGGCGACGACGGGUAGCCGGCCUGAGAGGGUGUCCGGCCACACUGGGACUGAGAUACGGCCCAGACUCCUACGGGAGGCAGCAGUGGGGAAUAUUGCACAAUGGGCGAAAGCCUGAUGCAGCGACGCCGCGUGGGGGAUGACGGCCUUCGGGUUGUAAACCUCUUUCACCAUCGACGAAGGUCCGGGUUUUCUCGGGCUGACGGUAGGUGGAGAAGAAGCACCGGCCAACUACGUG